UACCUCGCGCCUGGCGGACUGCGGCAGCCAAGUUGCCAACCAUUCAUUACUCAUUUUUUUAAUCAGUAAUGCUAAUGUAUGUGGAUCAAAAGACUAAAGAGUUUAUAGGCAUUAUAAAUAUUCGUUAAUUUCGAUGACUUUGCCCAGAGGUAUAUACAAAGAUCGGAAACUUAUUCUUUAAUUAGAUGACAAAAAUAUCUAAGUGAUAUCUUUGAGAGAAAAUACGUGUACCUACUUUAUGACGAAAGCAUAUAUAUUAACCCAACCACAUUCCAAAGUAGCCCAAAAAGUCGCAAGUCGCAGACGUCAAAAUUUAGUAGCGCAGCACAUCAGAAAGUAGCCCAAUUUGCGAUUAGUAGCCCAAUCCGGCAACACUGGUCGCGGCGCGACUCACGGGCGCCGCUGGUCCCACAGUUGCCAGUUCGCCAUAUACAUAUACAUAGACAUCCUACACCAGCUGAUAUUUAGUGGGAUGGAGCAGAACAGUCACCACCAGCCAGCAUGACAUGUAAGGCAGAGGUGUAGAGUGGAGAGGACCACGGCGGCCCGCGGCGCACUGGGCAGCUGCUGGGAAGCUGCCUCGGCCUGCCCCGCCGGCCGCUCCGCGCUCAGUUUAGAGAGAGCAACUGAAUAAUCAUCCUGGGAAGGCAUGUUGCCAUGGUGACGGUGGUGGUGGGCAUGAUACAGAUGCAGGAGGUGGAGUUUGUGCCCGAUGGAGACAUGCAGGUGGACAAAUUGUGUUGGUCAUUGGUCAGACUGGAGUUUACAUGUGUACCUCCUUCACCAUCAUUGGUGGACACUUCACCAUGAGUGAUGCUUGAGCUGUCACGGUGCUGCUGCUGCUGUCUGCCAUCAUCCCCCUGACACAGACCACCCUGCAGACAUCUUCAUCCUGGGUGCCACACAUUUAUGGUAUCAUUCAAAAUGUCCUUCAAAGAAACCCCUUUGUAAUCCAACACACUUAGCCCAUUAAUCCUUCCAUUUCUCAUCAAUUUGUUCAACAUUCAUAUUUUUCCCUUAUAGGGUUGAACAAUUUUCAUGGGUUCAGAGCAAAAGGCUUCCUCAUUUUUCCCCAAGGUAUUCUCGGAUGGUAAGCAGGUUUGACUCUGGAGCAAACCUGACCAAGGGCUACUGCCCAAGGCUACAGAGGUUCCUCUCCCUGAGGCUGAAUGCACCAUGUGAGAUGGUUCUGUUAUGUGGAUGAAUGUCAUGGUGGAUAGCAGUGCCACCACAUUCCUACAAUCAUCCAUCACUCCACUGCUCAAACGCUUCUGCAACCAAUGAUAGGUAUGCUGCCACAUUCUGCAUGGUCUCCUUGGCUCUCAGAUAAGGAUACUGUCAACAGGUUUGUGAUUGCCAAAAAAUCAUAAGGAGCUAUGUCUGAAAAGUCCAGAGAGAGAGAGAGCGCGAGAGAGAGAGAGAGAGAGAAAGAAUGAGCAAGAGAAAGAGUAGGAUGAAGCAAAGGAAGAGUCAAGAGAGAGGAAGAGAGAGUAGGACAAGAAAAAACAGAACAAAUAAAUCCCCUACACGUCUUGUCUCCAUUCACACAAGCCAUGAAAAGCUUGUCCAUCCCUGAGUGCUCAGAAGCAGUGUUCCACUGAUGAUGUGGAAACUUGAGACACCCAAUCAUUUAAUGGGCUUUAGUAGGUUUUGUCACCAGUCUUCUGUGUGUCACUGACUACAUUUUGAAAUUUUUAUGUUCUAUUUAAUUUUGUGUGUAUGUACACAAUGUUUAUGGUCAAUAAACUAUUUAUAAAACUAUUUAUCUGUGUGAGUAAGAUAAAAGCAGUUAUUGUUAUUAUUAUUAUUAUUAUUAUUAUUAUUAUUAUUAUUAUUAUUAUUAUUAUUAUUAUUAUUAUUACACAUUUUCCUCCUUGUAUUUAAAUAUUAUUAUUAUUAUUAUUAUUAUUAUUAUUAUUAUUAUUAUUAUUAUUAUCAUGAAUUGUUCUUGUUUAUAAAUAAAAUACUGUAACUGA